GCCUGGGCUGGUGCUGGUUUCUGGCUUUGCCGUAGCCAUGGAUUCUGUUAGGCUGAACCCCUGGGCUGGCUUGACCUUGGACCUGGUUGAAGUGGCAUGUGAGCAUCCAGCAUGGGAAUGAUGAACCUAUAGCUCAGCCUUAGAAUUACUGCCAACUCCACAGGAAAACUUGAAUAAAAAGACCUAAGCUUCAAUUCCCUGGGAAAGAAAAGUCAAGACAUGGCUUCACUGAGUAUAAAUUUGGAGAUCUGCCCUGAAAACAUGCCUCUUCUACACCCAGAGAGAUUAGAAGAACACAGUCAGUGAAGGAUCUCCUCUAUGUGUGCCACUCCUGGCUCACCUAAUCUAGGACUGAUGUAUGGUGGCAAAACCCAUGGAACAUGCACCAUUUCAUCCCAGGCUGGAUAGUUCUGAGCUCAAUGCAACUGAAUACAAAGAUUUCAUAGCACUUUCUUUUGGUGGCUGCACAAAAAAUUGUUUUAUAGGAAUAAGUAUCUUUAUUCUAAAGGGUUUAGAUGGUACAUCUAUAAAGAAGAGGCACAUACAAACAGCACAAAUCACCAUUCUGCUUGUUUGUUUGUUGGCAGUGGAAGGAAUUCAGUUAUAACAAAGUGGAGGAAUGACUAUUUGCUUCUACUAGGGCAAUAAAUGACUUACUGCACCUGCCUUCUUGAGGCAGGGAAGCUCCACUGUAGAUGUCUGUUAGGACAGAAACUUCAUUGGGAGGUGAAAACAAAAAUGUGCCAACUGAAAUUGCUACGAGGGAGAGACAGCAACUCUUUCCCAUCAGGCUGUCAGCACGCAAUGAGAAUGAGUCACUGUGAUGCAGUUCUGUGAUUCAGACAAUUCAAAGCCACUCGGGGAUGUCAGACCACCAACAUACUUUUGCUGUUUGUGAAUCCAUACAAAGAGAAGAUGCGUCCUCCAGCUCUUGAUAGACUCCUACAUCUCUAACAAUUUUUUUUGUAUGAUUUUAAAUUUUUCUAAAUUUGUUACUGCAAAUCUGGUUUUAGACAACUUUUGCUCCUCAGUAAAAUAUCUAUUUGUUUCAGGUUAUUCUUUAUCAGGAAACCUAGAGGUACUACUUAGUGAAAAAGAGCCUUAGGCUAUUCAGAGAAGUAUCCUAAAAUUAGGAGUAGAUAAGGACCAAAACCCAGAACUCUUUCAUUGUUAAUAAUUGUUUUACUCAAAAAGAGAAACAAGAAAAGCUCUUCCUCUGGGAUGCAAUGUUAGUCUAAAGCAACCGCUUUUCUUUCUGGUGAACAGCUUGAGAACAGUAAGAAUGUUUUCUUGCCCUCCUGUUCAAAGUCUGAUCACAAUGCCCUGCAGCUUAUUUUGUGGGGCAGAACAAAACCUGUUGACAGGGGCUAUUUCCCUUACUAUUUCCUAAUCUAUUUUCACUAAUAAUUGCCACAGUCAGUCUUUGAAUAGAAUGGAUGUAUAAACAGAUCAGCAGAGUUCAGGCACACAGUAGGCAUAAGAAGUGCUUUCCCAUCAUACACAUUUCUAGUCAUAACCCUAUCAGAGUGUUCCUAAACUUAUGACAUCAGAAAGAUGAAAGAAUUUCCCACAGCCGCAAAAGUAAGGCAUGAUUCUACUGCUGAGAGCAGCUGGAAAACCUAUAGGAACUUAUUUUCCUCCUACUAGCCUCAAGAAACCUGUAGGAGGACUGGAAUAUGAUACCACUCACUGUUCCAUAGGAUCUGAAAGAUUGUACAGAGGUUACCAGUGGAAGUCAAAGCCUGAUUUUAUUGAUACCUUGCCUGUGGAAAGUAAGAGAUUGUGAAUGACAUAGAUUUCUUAACGUUUGCGGAGUCUAAUGAUUAGUAACUGCAAGAUGAAUCACUUGAAUGCUGGUUUUACACAGAAAAUUGGUUCAACUCAAAGAAUCCCUUGGAAAUCUUUAAGGACUGUAAAAGAAUGGAUUGAUUUCUUCCAACUCUCUGGAAGCCUGCUCAGAACACGUCAGAGUUUCUCCUUUGGGCAGUCAGGAGAAGUAAAGAGUUCAGCAGAAGCAGUCAUGAAGGACAGGGAAAUGAGUCAUCCUAAUCCACUGUAAUGAUCUCAUCAAUCCUUCACCAUGUCAAGUUAUAAAUAUAUAGUAAAUAUUGACAAGCGUGUUGAGGCAGGUUUUGAAAGAGAACAUUUAUCUUACUGUUGCUCUUGCCAGGACAGAUAAUCCUCAAAGAAGCUAGUAGUUUCAAGGAUUUAGGGAGAAACUCAUUAGGGAGAAUAUGAGAAAUCAUUUCAGCGUGGAUUUUUGGUUGCUGAAGGACAUUGAGAUCUAUUGGUGUUCUAAGUGUGAAUACCCUCUCUCCAUCUACCUCCCUACACUAUAAUCUAGUUAUUUAUUUUACUAGAAUGUUUUCCUUUGCAACUUCUAACAUUUGCAGUCAGUUUUGCUUGCCUCAAACUUUGGAGAACCAAUAGCACCCACAGUGCUGUCCCGUAUUGUCCAAAAUAACAUUUGAAAUUACCAUAAAACAUCACCUUCUCAUAAAUAUUGCACAAGUGAUUAUCCAGAUUAAAUUCACUAGAACAAUGGUAUUUCUGUCUUUUCCAGACACUUCCAGAAUUUGAGGCCUCCUGCUUUAACAUUUGGUUCUCAUAAAUUCUAUUCCUCUAUUAUUAUAAUUCUAUCACUCUGCAAAGCUAUGCUGAAUUUUUACCUGAACUCAAACUGAGAGAGCAAAAAGUACUUCUCUGGCAUACAGGGGACCAUGCUCCAAAUCACUAAGUAUCUCCUCAUCCAAAAUAAACAUUUCAGAGAAGAGUAGAAAAUACAGGAACAAAUAUUUUUGUGCCUGUGUUUAAAAAAAGAAAAAAUUCACCUAGUUUGCUUAGAAGUCCAAGCUAAGGCACAUUUUCUGAAUGGAAAACAUCAAACUUGGUAUUUCAUGCUAUUUGGCAAAGCUGUGAGCAACGGGAAGUUUCUAGGAUAAUGCUCUUUUUAUCAAGCAGAAUGUUCCUUGUUGUGUUCCUGUCAUUACAAAUCAACACAGAGCAUUUAAGCUAAUACCACUGUUAAAUCCUUCACACUAAUUAGUUAGACAAAUUGUACUGGAAGAUACAUUGUACCGUCUAAGUUGGGUGACUAUGCUGUAGAUCGAAAACAGUUCUGGAAUCCAGAUGAAGAGAACUGCUUGUUAAAUUCUCAUAAGCAUAGUCACAAACCCGUAUCAGGUAUCUUCUGCUGAUUCACGUGGAAUAUUCUAUAUUAACCAGACAUGCCAUAUUUCAUCCACAGAACUCACCAAGUCUUACAUAUAAAUCAGGAAUGACCAAUGGUCCUUAUUCCCCAAGUCAUGCACCAAAUCUUACUGAAGUCAAAAGUCACAGAGAAGUCUCAAAUUUUGGAGACCCAACAUAAAAAUCAUCACUGCGAGCGAUUUUUUCAGGCACAAUUGGAGUUGACCAUCCAAGAGCUUCACUCUUCCCUGUGAUAGGCACUAUGUUAAGGAUUCAGCUGGGAUCUCCAGAUCAGGAACACAUCACCCCUCCAUUGUUUGCUGCCGGUCACAGUCCGUGUUUCUGAUGAGCCCACUGGUCUCAUGCCAACACAGCCCCACAGCGAUGUCCCGGCAGCAGCACCGUGGCCACCAUGACCAGCUUGUGACACAACUGGAUCCGAGAGCCAGAACUGUUCACUCUUCUAUUCCAUGUCAGGUGAUCUCAAAAAUGUAUUUCAGCUUACAGAUAAUCAUGCACAUUCUAUGUUCAAAGAUACAAUUGUGUUUGUGGGAGCACUGAAGAGAUUAAAGUCAUCAUGCAGUUUUAAUAAAAUAUUCUAUCUGUUUCAGCUAAAAUUUCUGUCUGAUGUAGUGUGACUGAAACUAAUUUUGUUUGCCUUUCUUUCUCCAGACCAACAAAGAGAAUCCAAUUAAUGAGAGCCAUUUAAUGUUUUCUAAAUCUCAUUUUAAGUCCUUGUCUCCUUUCAAAGCUGGCAAAGAGAGAAAAUGUUGCUGUAUAUAAAAAAAAUUAGACAUCGUAAAAUAAUGCUUCUGUAUGAGCCCAUGUAAGAAGUCAUUAAAUGCUUCGCAAAUGUCUACUCGGGCGGAUAUGAUACGUUUAUUUAAUGAAAGAGUAAUUUCUGAAUGCUUUUGUUAAACAGUAAAUUGAAUCAUUUCCACAUAAGCUUUUGUUUCUUCAUCUGAAAACCCACAGAUGUUAUGUAGUUGAGGCAGAGUAAAUUUCUGCUAACUAACCAGGUAAUAAUUAGUUUUUAAAAGUUCAGAUGAGAUAUGUUCUGAUGUGAC